CUCAUUUACAUAUGAUCACUUUUAUUGGAUGUGGAAAACAUCAACAAGAAAAGUACAUUAAGAAAACAAACUAAUGUGGCAAGUUGUUUACAGGUAGUGAAAGAUCUUUCUAUGAAUAGUAUGUGUACUUAUACUGAAGUAUUUCCAUCAGCUUGAACAAUCUAUUUGCAGUGGAAGAAGUAAAGACGCUAACUCUCCUAGAAAAGGUCUCUGAAAUGAAAUUCAGAUAUAUGAA
rnacentral:lncRNA from 1 species